rnacentral:rRNA from 1 species
AGAGUUUGAUCAUGGCUCAGAGCGAACGUUGGCGGCGUGCCUAAUACAUGCAAGUCGAGCGAGAGAGCCCCUUCGGGGGUGAGUAGAGCGGCAGACGGGUGAGUAACACGUGGGUAACCUACCCUCCAGUGGGGGAUAACCUCGGGAAACUGGGCUAAUACCGCAUAAGCUCGUUAUUCUUUGGGGGUAACGAGGAAAGGGAGCCUCUGCUUGCAAGCUUUCGCUGGAGGAUGGGCCCGCGGCCCAUCAGGUAGUUGGUGGGGUAAUGGCCUACCAAGCCUACGACGGGUAGCUGGUCUGAGAGGAUGAUCAGCCACACUGGCACUGAGACACGGGCCAGACUCCUACGGGAGGCAGCAGUAGGGAAUAUUGCGCAAUGGGCGAAAGCCUGACGCAGCAACGCCGCGUGGGGGAAGAAGGCCUACGGGUCGUAAACCCCUGUCAGGAUGGACGAUGGGAAGGUAGGUUAAUAGCUUACAUUCUUGACGGUACAUCCAGAGGAAGCACCGGCUAACUACGUGCCAGCAGCCGCGGUAAUACGUGGGGUGCAAACGUUGCUCGGAAUCACUGGGCGUAAAGGGUGCGUAGGCGGACUAGUAAGUUAGAUGUGAAAUCCCGGAGCUUAACUUCGGAAUUGCAUCUAAUACUGCUAG